CUUCCCUAGGGUGCAGCGUGGGCCCCUGCACUUUCCUGGAGGUGGUGGUGGGGCUCAGUUCUCAUGGACACCCUUCCUGCCACCUGCCGUAGUUGAGCUCCCAGAAAGGAGAGUAGGACAGAUCCUGGGGGAGAAGGAGAGAAGAAAGCAGGGUUCCCAAGCAACAAAGUGGAGAGGACCAUGGCAGCUCCACGUAAGCCCAGGGGAAUUUACUUUCAUAGGGAAAAUUUCCUCUCUGCAGCUCCAGCGUGGCACAUAGUCACCCUUCUUAAGCCCAUUAAAUCCUUUCUGAGGCAGAUCCUGCCUGGAAUGCUAUGUUUCUUUCACUGAAAAAUUGUUGGAAGUACUGAUAGAGUCUAAAUUCAUAAAUAAUUUUCUUUCUUGCUUUCUCCUUCCAGAGUGGAAGGCCUUAGAAGAGCUCUUUGGGUAUAAAUGUUCAUGAAGACUUUCAGGCUAUUUCCUAACCAGGAUGAUAAUAAGACACAUUCUUUCUUGGAGUCCUGACCAGCGGCCUACUCAAAUUUGAAGGAAAAUCAUCUGAAACAUGUGCACGUCAUGGCAAAGAGAAACCUGGAAAGCAGGAACACCAGAGAGGAGCUGGGGUGAUGGUGGACACCUAGCAAGGAGCCAGACUGCAAGGAGAGAAGACAGCGUGAAAGGCCAGACCUAUUUUGGGACCAACCCCUGAGUCACAGAGUAACAGAGAGCAGAGGUUUUGACUCAAUUCUUGCAGUCCAUUCUGUGAUGAGAAAAGAGAUUUUACCAGGGCUGAGAAGAGGCUUAGCCCUCACAUAGAGGAAGCACAGUCCUUCCAUGGUGGAAGCAUCGAGGGCCAGAGACUGAAGCAGAAGGCAAGGCCUAUACUCCAGUAAAGAAGUUAUCAGUAACUUUGAUAAUUGCCAGAGUGAUGGCAAUGUGAAUCCCAUGGGAAGGACAAGAAAAUGGCAGUAGGUCAGGAUUCCUAUUUACCUUGGCAUCUUUUGCUUGUUGUGACAACCAGGAAGAGAACCCACUGCAUUAAAAGUUCUGCAGAACCUCUUUUAGCUGCAGGAUUUACCACAUUUAUGAGGGUCCUGGUGUCCCCAUUGCUAUCAAUGAGCCAAGUUCUGUUUUGGCCUCUCCUAGUAUCAUUCCUGGCCUGCAGAGGGGCAGUGCCGCUCUCACCAGCACAGUCUUGAUUGCUUCUGGCCUUCCUAUGGAGCACAGUCAACCUGUGGAUUUUUCAGGCUUACAUGGUAUGCCCACCCUUGUAUGCCCACAUCUGAUUCAUUCUUUCCCAACAAGGGCUCUGAACUUACACAGGUGACCUGUAUGAGCUGAAAGCUUAAUCUUUGAAGUUCAGCUACUCUUAUGGUUAAAUCAUGGGCCUGGUCUCCAGCACUACUUCUUCACUCCUUUCUCAGGGUGCAAGAUCUGAGAGCCAUUUGAUGAGAUACCAUGAAUAUUCUUUGGUUUGAAUUUAUUAAAUAAUUGUUAAUUGCCAAUUAAUUUCUAUUAGCCUUUUGAUAUCUCUUCCAAAGAAUAAAUAAAUCUUAGC